UACGGGGGGGCAAGCGUUGUUCGGAAUUACUGGGCGUAAAGGGCUCGUAGGUGGUCAACUAAGUCAUACGUGAAAUCCCUCGGCUUAACCGGGAACUGCGCCUGAUACUGGUUGACUUGAGUUUGGGAGAGGGACGCGGAAUCCAGGUGUAGCGGUGAAAUGUGUAGAGAUCGGGAGGAACACCGGUGGCGAAGGCGGUCUCUGGCAUCUCCUGACGCUGAGGCGCGAAGCGGAGGCAA
rnacentral:rRNA from 1 species